AUACUACUACAACUUCUAUAAAAAGUUGAAAUAAAACCUUGACAAUACUAAUAAUGUCCCAUACAUAUUCCAUACCACAUUCAUACAGUGAUAGGUUUAGAAAAUCUUUAAAUAAUAUUUUAGCUUAGUAAAGUUUAUACUGGUAAUACAGUAUUUAACUAGAUAACAUACUGAAUAGAUGCAAUACGAUACAGUUAAGAUUUAGAUGAAUUAAAUUCCACAUACAACCAACUGUACUGAUAGUUGAAAUACCUACUUUACUUUAACUAUGAGCUAAGUUUAUUUGUACACUGAUGCAUUAACCUCACACCUCUUAAGAAAUACAAUAUGUACAAGACCAUAUACAGAACCGGUAUAUGAAAUACACAUACAAAAUAACCUAACCUGGAUAAUGAAAUCCUCAAUACACGAAGAUCGAAUUCCAUGAAUGUACCCAAUGUUUAACAUCCACAUUCAGCAAGGGGCUGAUAAUAAGGAAAAUGAUUAAAUACCAAUCAAAGUGACCUCCUGAAACAUAUGUGUUAGACUGCCUGACAGAUAUGCCUGACAGAAACCUUUAAAACUAAAUACACAGUAGAUAGAUAGUAAGCUGACCAGAGAAACUAAAGUAAACAGACAAAAGAAACUUAUGCAGAAUGCAAGCCCAUGGGUCAGAACCUGGCCUGACCUAGUAAGGUGGCUAUUGUUAUAAUGCAGGGCGCAGGGCUUGUAUAACUCUUAGUGUUUGUAGUGUUUGUAGUGUACUGUAUGUAAAGUUUAAAGCAAUAAUGAAACAUCUAAAAGAUCUAACUUACAUGUACAAAUACUUAAAACUUGACUUGGCCACAUUAGCAAAAUUUAUUUUCAUUUGACAAAAAUGAACACAAACACUUUCCUACAAAACAUUUAGAAGUAACUAAUAAAAUUGUUUAAAAAACAAAUGUAAUAAAUAACCUUUACAACUGUCCUGUAUAAAAAUCUGGACCCGGUUGUAUCAAAGCCUCAUUAACUAAUGGCUACAUUAAACCCUAAUGAUACAUUAAAUGCUUAAUGCACCAUUAGUUAAUGGCAUCAUUAAAAUCGGUUGUAUCAAACGUUUAUUAGCAUAUCAUUAUCUAAUGAUGCCUUAAUGUAAGUGGCUUCAUUAACCUGUCAUUAAAUUUGGUGUUUCCCCUAAAUAUUUCCCACAAUUCCUUGACGUAAACACGUACGCAUUACUUCCGGUCGUCUGUCAAAAUGGCAUCGUAUCCACCUAAACCUAGGAAUAGAAACAAGAAUUUCAACAGGUCCGAAAUUCAGCUUAUUGCCGAGUUGGUGGAGAAACACAUCUCCAUACUUAACAGUAAGUUGUGUAGCACCGUCACCCACGAAAGAAAGAAGGCUAUUUGGGCAGAGAUAACUUCCAAAGUUAACGCUCUCGGUGUUUGUCAGCGUACAACAAAAGAAAUAAAAACAAAAUGGACGAACAUGCACCAGACGGCCAAAAGGGAAUUCAGUAACAGACAGCUGGACAUGAGGAAGACCGGGGGAGGGCCCUGUAUUGUCCCACUUUCCACGACGAGUGAAAAUAUAGUGGACAUUUACAAGGAGUGUCCCAGUUUCACUGGACUCACGGGCAUCGAAUCGGACGAUCUAGUGAUGCAAAUGGGUAUGUCGCCUGCAUUCAAUAAAAUAUCGAUACACAAACUGUUGUAAGUGUUAAAAAAGUACUUUACAUGAUACAACGAACUAGUAGCCUAAUCAGCUGUUCAUACACGUUGAACAAGGCUAUGGGGAAUCGGGUAUUGCACAUGAUUUGAUGAUCAUUAAUCAAAAGGAAAUGAAAAAAGAACAUUUAACCAACCUUUUUGACAACACUUUCAAUUAAAUUGCCGCGUGUGAUAAAAUACACAGUGCAUAUUUACAUUUGAAAUGGUAUUUCUCAUCCGUUCUCCGACAGGCAGCCAUUGUGGAAAGAGAAGGGGGGGCAACUCUCAUUACCCCUAUUCCAAACCAAGAAGUUCAUGUUGUGUCUUUCGAUGUUAAGUUCAAAUCUUGACAUUCUUCGUCUCUAAAUGCAAAUUUUAUGUGAAGCAUUUAUACUUUUCAUGAGAGAAUUUUCUUAUGACAACGAAAAUUGGUUGAAAAAAUAUGUCACAUUAUAGCAGUCAUUUUUCUGAAGGUGGCUGCAGACAUAAAAUAGGCCGUGUCAUCACACAAAUAUAUCAUACAAUUCUAAUAUAUCAUUUCCUUUGGUAAUAAAACAAAUGAUAAUAACCCUGGUGCCGUACCUCUCCCGUUUUAACAGUGUAAAAAUAUUAAUUAUAUUAUUAACUGAUGUUCAAUAAGUGUGCAAAAAACUUUAUGUGUGUGCAGGAAGUCGCCGAUGUAAUUGGCUCUCCUUUGACUUUACACCUGUUAGCACGGGCUUUAGAAGAAAAUGUUUGCGAUGUCCCUACUCAGGAAGCGUCUGUGCCCAGUUGUUCCAGCACACAGAUCUACCCAGAAGGAGAACUGUCUGUCGACGCAUCUGCAUUACAUGACGACAUUAGUACAAUCGAAGAGCCUUUGGUCCAGACUGGGGGAAAAUCAAAUCGUGUCACCAAGAGAAAGAUCAAACAGGAUGACAUCACCAGACUGCAGUAUGAGGUUUUGCUUGAGCAGAAAAAGAAAGUCAUUCAGCAAACCAUGUACUCUGAGCUCAUGAACAAGAAGCUCCAAUUGGAGUUGGAUAGCUUGAUGCACCAUGAAUGAAAACGACAUCCUCAUGUUUGAAAUGUUACUAAAAGUUCAUUAAAAUACAAUUAGUUUGAUAGUGUGCUA
rnacentral:misc_RNA from 1 species